rnacentral:rRNA from 1 species
CCUACGGGAGACAGCAGUGGGGAAUAUUGGGCAAUGGGCGCAAGCCUGACGCAGCAACGCCGCGUGAAGGAAGAAGGCUUUCGGGUUGUAAACUUCUUUCGACAGGGAAGAGUAGAAGACGGUACCUGACGAUUAAGCCACGGCUAACUCGGUGCCAGCAGCCGCGGUAAUACGUAGGGGGCAAGCGUUGUCAGGAUUUACUGGGUGUAAAGGGCGUGUAGCCGGGUUGACAAGUCAGAUGUGAAAUCCUGCGGCUUAACCGGAGAACUGCAUUUGAAACUGUUGAGCUUGAGUACUGGAGAGGCAGAUGGAAUUCCUGGUGUAGCGGUGAAAUGCGUAGAGAUUAGGAGGAACACCAGUGGCGAAGGCGGUCUGCUGGACAGCGACUGACGGUGAGGCGCGAAAGCGUGGGGAGCAAACAGGAUUAGAUACCCUGGUAGUC